GAGAUGAGCCAUACCACCCUGAACACGCCAGUUCAAGGUCGGGCCUGGUUAGUACCGGGACGAUAGACCGCCUGGGAAUACCAGGUGCCGUAAGCU
rnacentral:rRNA from 1 species